rnacentral:rRNA from 1 species
UACGUAGGGUGCAAGCGUUGUCCGGAAUUAUUGGGCGUAAAGCGCUUGUAGGCGGUUUGUUGCGUCUGCUGUGAAAUUUCGGGGCUCAACCCCGAACUUGCAGUGGGUACGGGCAGACUAGAGUGUGGUAGGGGAGACUGGAAUUACUGGUGUAGCGGUGAAAUGCGCAGAUAUCAGGAGGAACGCCGAUGGCGAAGGCAGGUCGCUGGGGCAGAACUGACGCUGAGAAGCGAAAGCGUGGGGAGCGAACAGG